rnacentral:lncRNA from 1 species
CUUUCUGUCUGCUGGAGAUAGGAGCGGAGGGGCUCCACCCCGUUCCACUGUCUAGGCACGAGGAAGUUGAGGGGGAGGUCUUCCCCUCUCCAGAAGGCUGAAAGCCGAUUCCUCUUCUUUCCCUGGAGUGGCUUCUGAACGGGGAGAGGUUGCUCGCGUCCCCGCUCCCGCCUCCGCUCCCGGGGUGCCCCAGAGGGUGGGGCUUUCGUACUCCCGGCUGUCCCUGAGCUGGCCUGGGCAGCACGGUCCGGGAGGCCGCGGCUCGAGACUCCGGUCCCUGCUACUGUGGCGGCAGCACCUCCUCUAGGGCCGUCCUGUCGGGUCCGCUCCCUUCGGCGCGUGGGGCUCCCCGCGCUGCCACCGCUCGGGCUCCGACCAGUCUGGGCUCCCGGGGAGCCAGAAGGCGGGCAGACAGUGUCAGGGCUCGGCGCGGGCUCGGGCUCGGCUCGGC